rnacentral:rRNA from 1 species
UACGAAGGGUGCAAGCGUUACUCGGAAUCACUGGGCGUAAAGCGUGCGUAGGCGGUUUCUUAAGUCUGUCGUGAAAGCCCUGGGCUCAACCUGGGAAUGGCGAUGGAUACUGGGAGGCUAGAGUGUGAUAGAGGAUGGUGGAAUUCCCGGUGUAGCGGUGAAAUGCUUAGAUAUGACAUAGAACACCAAUUGCGAAGGCAGCUUACUUCACGAUUAUUGACACUGAGGCACGAAAGCGUGGGGAGCAAACAGG